rnacentral:tRNA from 1 species
AAAAAGAUAAGCUAAUUUAAGCUACUAGGUUCAUACCCUAAUUAUAGAAGUAAAAGCUUCUUCUUUUUA